GGUGCGGUCGUCUAAUGGUUUAGGAUGCGAGACUCUCACUUUCGCGAUAGCUGGGUUCGAAUCCCCUUCGCAUCACCA
rnacentral:tRNA from 1 species